CUGAGGUGACAGCCUAAAGGGCUCGGGCGCCAGGCUGGGCUGUGGGGGGCUCCCCCUGUCCCCACCCUGGGGCCGGCCCCCGCCCUGUGGCAAGGCCUCCUUCCUGGCCUCGGGUGAAGAAACGCAUUCCUGGCACAUACCAUCCGCUCUCGGUGGGGCUCACCUGCCUCCCGGAGCGCCCAGGUGGCGCCCGUCGCUAGUCUGAGCUGAGGAACAGCCAGACUGCUUCCGGGGUGCAGGGUCAGCCAGCCGGGACCCCCACACCACAGCCGUGGAGCUGAGGAAGGCUGUAGAUCCCAGCUGCCUAUGUUCACCGGGUCAACCCGUGACUCAGUUUACCUUCCUGGGUGUCGGCCUCCCGAGCUGUAAACGUAGCCAGGGAGGACCCCCACGGUUGUUUUCGGGUUGAAGGGAUCGGGAUUGGGAACGUUUCAGUCUCCAUCUCCCUCUCUGUCUCUCGGUGGCCCAGAACUCAGGGAGAAGGCGUGACGUGUGGCACCUCCCGAAAGCCCAGCAAGCAAGCAGGGCUCCCCAGAAUCGCGGAGUCCCCGCGAGGGCGGGGGGUGGGGGGACGUGGUCCGGGUGUCACGGGCCUAAAGCGGGAGCAGCGGCACAGGCGUGUGUGUCCUGUGGCCCCGCGGGCCAUGCUGCGUCCCCGCACUCGCUCUCCUCGGCCCUUCGCUGGCCACCAGCCCGGGCCCUCCGGAAGGACCCCCCCAGGUCUGCCUCCACCUCAGCCCAGAAAGGGUGAGGGGCCUCCUGGUGGUUGGACGCCCCUCCCCAGGAGGGAGGGCGGGACGGCGGCCCAGGGUGGAAGUUAGAACCCGGGGGAUAGGCGACCCCGAGAGGCCUCACCUAGGUUUUCCCGGAGCAGCCAGGUCAGCACGGAAUCUCGGUAGGGAAUGAAAUCGGUCUUCUUCUUUUUCUUGUUCUGUGGGGGAGGAACACUCGAGGUGAAGCCUGAGCCCGCCAGAAGGGAAGGGAGCCGGAAGGGCAAAGCACGGGGUCUGCGGAUAGAGGACAUUCAGAACCCGGACUCCGGCCACGCGACGGCCGCUGGGCCCCGCGCCCCGCGGACACUGCUUACGGACUGACCGAGGGAGACCGCUGACCGCUCCCUGGGGACGCCGCUGAUGGAACGAGGGAGUCCGCUGACCGAGGGCACCCGGUUACUUUCCACCGUCUCCUCGUUCAUGCACACAGUUGCUUGAAAGUAUUUGUUGGGCCCCCGCAGAGGCCACCGGACACGGCCCUGUCCCCCAGAGCCCUCCCGGGAGACGCACACGGGCGCCACCACGAGGGCUGUGCCUUUUCUCUAGACGCAGGCUCCUCCGUCGCUGUUCUUCAGGCUGAUUUCCAAGAGGCGCUCCCCUAGAUCUCGGAGGGCGCCUGGGGCGCCGGGGCGGCUCGGCCGGUUAAGCGUCCGACUUCGGCUCAGGUCACCAUCUCACGGCUCCUGAGUUCGAGCCCCGCGUCGGGCUCCGUGCCGACAGCUCGGAGCCUGGAGCUGCCUCGGACUCUGUGUCUCCCUCUCCCUCUGCCCCUCCCCUGCUCAAGCUCUGUCUCUUUCCCUCAAAACUGAAUACACAUGAAAGAAUCGUU